rnacentral:rRNA from 1 species
UACGGGGGGGGCAAGCGUUGUUCGGAAUUACUGGGCGUAAAGGGUUCGUAGGUGGCUCGCUAAGUCAGACGUGAAAUCCCUCAGCUUAACUGGGGAACUGCGUCUGAGACUGGCAAGCUCGAGUGCAGGAGAGGAACGCGGAAUUCCAGGUGUAGCGGUGAAAUGCGUAGAUAUCUGGAGGAACACCGGUGGCGAAGGCGGCAUCCUGGACCAAUAUUGACGCUGAGGAGCGAAAGCCAGGGGAGCAAACGGG